GCUUUCUUUGCUGGCGACCGGCGCACGGGUGAGUAACACGUAUCCAACCUACCCUUUACUCGGGGAUAGCCUUUCGAAAGAAAGAUUAAUACCCGAUGGCAUAGCUCUUCCGCAUGGUAGAACUAUUAAAGGAUUUCGGUCAUCGAUGGGGAUGCGUUCCAUUAGGUUGUUGGCGGGGUAACGGCCCACCAAGCCUUCGAUGGAUAGGGGUUCUGAGAGGAAGGUCCCCCACAUUGGAACUGAGACACGGUCCAAACUCCUACGGGAGGCAGCAUG
rnacentral:rRNA from 1 species